rnacentral:rRNA from 1 species
GUGAACGCUUGCGGCAGGCCUAACCCCUGCCAGUCGCACGGCAGCACAAGAGAGCUUGCUCUCUGGGUGGCGAGUGGCGGACGGGUGAGGAAUGCAUCGGAAUCUGCCCAUUUGUGGGGGAUAACCUCGGGAAACCGGGACUAAUACCGCAUACGACCUACGGGUGAAAGCAGGGGAUCUUCGGACCUUGCGCAGAUGGAUGAGCCGAUGCCGGAUUAGCUAGUUGGAGGGGUAAAGGCCCACCAAGGCGACGAUCCGUAGCUGGUCUGAGAGGAUGAUCAGCCACACUGGGACUGAGACACGGCCCAGACUCCUACGGGAGGCAGCAGUGGGGAAUAUUGGACAAUGGGCGCAAGCCUGAUCCAGCCAUGCCGCGUGUGUGAAGAAGGCCUUCAGGUUGUAAAGCACUUUUGUUGGGAAAGAAAAGCAGCCGGUUAAUACCCGGUUGUCAUGACGGUACCCAAAGAAUAAGCACCGGCUAACUUCGUG